GGGAGAACGGUUAUCGGAAUUACUGGGCGUAAGCGCGCGCAGGUGGUUCGUUAAGUUGGAUGUGAAAUCCCCGGGCUCAACCUGGGAACUGCAUUUGAAACUGGCGAGCUAGAGUCUCGCAGAGGGUGGUGGAAUUUCCUGUGUAGCGGUGAAAUGCGUAGAUAUCUGAAGGAAUACCGGUGGCGAAGGCGACCCCCUGGACUAAUACUGACACUCAGGUGCGAAAGCGUGGGGAGCAAACAGGAUUAGAUACCCUGGUAGUCCACGCUGUAAACGAUGUCGACUUGCAGGUUGUGUCCUUGAGAUUUGACUGCCGCAGCUAACGCGUUAAAUUGACCGCCUGGGGAGUACGGCCGCAAGGUUAAAACUCAAAUGAAUUGACGGGGGCCCGCACAAGCGGUGGAGCAUGUGGUUUAAUUCGAUGCAACGCGAAGAACCUUACCUAGUCUUGACAUCCAAUGAACUUUCCAGAGAUGCAUUGGUGCCUUCGGGAACUUGAGACAGGUGCUGCAUGGCUGUCGUCAGCUCGUGUUGUGAGAUGUUGGGUUAAGUCCCGUAACGAGCGCAACCCUUGUCCUUUGUUGCCAGCGCGUUAUGCUGGGAACUCUAAGGAAACUGCCGGUGUCAAAUCGGAGGAAGGGGGGAAUAACUUCAAUUCUUCAUGGCCCUUACAGUCUGGGUUCCCACUUGUUCAAUGGAUAGCCAAAAGGACCCCCUCCCCAGAGCGGACCUACUUCUCAAAAAUGAUCGAAUCCGAAUCGAAUCUGAAUUCAAUUGCUUGAAUCGAAUUCUUAUAUUCUCGAUUCAAUUGUCCGUGA
rnacentral:rRNA from 1 species